CAACCCUUAUCCUUUGUUGCCAGCGGUUAGGCCGGGAACUCAAAGGAGACUGCCAGUGAUAAACUGGAGGAAGGUGGGGAUGACGUCAAGUCAUCAUGGCCCUUACGACCAGGGCUACACACGUGCUACAAUGGCGCAUACAAAGAGAAGCGACCUCGCGAGAGCAAGCGGACCUCAUAAAGUGCGUCGUAGUCCGGAUUGGAGUCUGCAACUCGACUCCAUGAAGUCGGAAUCGCUAGUAAUCGUGGAUCAGAAUGCCACGGUGAAUACGUUCCCGGGCCUUGUACACACCGCCCGUCACACCAUGGGAGUGGGUUGCAAAAGAAGUAGGUAGCUUAACCUUCGGGAGGGCGCUUACCACUUUGUGAUUCAUGACUGGGGUGAAGUCGUAACAAGGUAACCGUAGGGGAACCUGCGGUUGGA
rnacentral:rRNA from 1 species